AUUGAACGCUGGCGGCAUGCCUUACACAUGCAAGUCGAACGGUAACAGGGAGCUUGCUCCGCUGACGAGUGGCGAACGGGUGAGUAAUGUAUCGGAACGUACCUUUUAGUGGGGGAUAACGUAGCGAAAGUUACGCUAAUACCGCAUAUUCUCUGAGGAGGAAAGCAGGGGACCUUCGGGCCUUGCGCUAAUAGAGCGGCUGAUAUCAGAUUAGCUAGCUGGUGAGGUAAAGGCUCACCAAGGCGACGAUCUGUAGCGGGUCUGAGAGGAUGAUCCGCCACACUGGAACUGAGACACGGUCCAGACUCCUACGGGAGGCAGCAGUGGGGGAUUUUGGACAAUGGGGGCAACCCUGAUCCAGCCAUGCCGCGUGAGUGAAGAAGGCCUUCGGGUUAUAAAGCUCCUUCGGCCGGGAAAAAAUCGCAUGGGUUAAUACCCUGUGUGGAUGAUGGUACCGGAAUAAGAAGCACCUGCUAACUCUGUGCCAGCCGCCGCCGUAACAC
rnacentral:rRNA from 1 species